AGAUUGAACGCUAGCGGGAUGCUUUACGACAUGCAAGUCGAACGGCAGCGCGGACUUCGGUCUGGCGGCGAGUGGCGAACGGGUGAGUAAUAUAUCGGAACGUGCCCAGUAGCGGGGGAUAACUACGCGAAAGCGUGGCUAAUACCGCAUACGCCCUACGGGGGAAAGGGGGGGAUCGCAAGACCUCUCACUAUUGGAGCGGCCGAUAUCAGAUUAGCUAGUUGGUGAGGUAAAGGCUCACCAAGGCGACGAUCUGUAGCUGGUUUGAGAGGACGACCAGCCACACUGGGACUGAGACACGGCCCAGACCCCUACGGGAGGCAGCAGUGGGGAAUUUGGACAAUGGGGGAAACCUGAUCCAGCCAUCCCGCGUGUGCGAUGAAGGCCCGUUGGGUUUGUAAAGCGUACUUUUGGCAGGAAGAAACGGCGUGCCCUAAGUACGGACGUCACUCGACGGUCCUGCAGAAUAAGCACGGCUAACUCUGUCGCCAGCGAGCCGAGUAACUC
rnacentral:rRNA from 1 species